UACAGAGGUCUCAAGCGUUGUUCGGAUUCAUUGGGCGUAAAGGGUGCGUAGGCGGCGCGGUAAGUCGGGUGUGAAAUCUCGGGCGUUAACUCCGAAUGGUCAGGUGAUACUGCUUUGCUAGAGUGCAGAAGGGGCAAUCGGAAUUCUUGGUGUAGCGGUGAAAUGCGUAGAUAUCAAGAGGAACACCUGAGGUGAAGACGGGGUUGCUGGGCUGACACUGACGCUGAGGCGCGAAAGCUAGGGGAGCAAACGGG
rnacentral:rRNA from 1 species